GUGAUUAUACUAGCACUAAUACACCGGAUCCCAUCAUAACUCCACAGUUAAGCUUGCUUGAGCGAGAAUAGUACUAGGAUGGGUGACCCCCUGGGAAGUUCUCGUGUUGUACCCC